rnacentral:rRNA from 1 species
GUGUCAGCAGCCGCGGUAAGACGUAGGGCGCGAGCGUUGUCCGGAUUUAUUGGGCGUAAAGAGCUCGUAGGCGGCUUGUCGCGUCGGCUGUGAAAUCCCGUGGCUCAACUGUGGGCGGGCAGCUGAUACGGGCAGGCUGGAGUUCGGUAGGGGAGACUGGAAUUCCUGGUGUAGCGGUGAAAUGCGCAGAUAUCAGGAGGAACACCGGUGGCGAAGGCGGGUCUCUGGGCCGAUACUGACGCUGAGGAGCGAAAGCGUGGGGAGCGAACAGGAUUAGAUACCCUGGUAGUCC